rnacentral:rRNA from 1 species
UAAGGAAUAUUGGUCAAUGGAGGCAACUCUGAACCAGCCAUGCCGCGUGAAGGAUUAAGGCCCUCUGGGUUGUAAACUUCUUUUAUAUGGGAAGAAAUGUUCUGAUUCUUCAGAGCUUGACGGUACCAUAGGAAUAAGCACCGGCUAACUCCGUGCCAGCAGCCGCGGUAAUACGGAGGGUGCAAGCGUUAUCCGGAUUCACUGGGUUUAAAGGGUGCGUAGGUGGGCAGAUAAGCCAGUGGUGAAAUCUUCCGGCUUAACCGGAAAAUUGCCGUUGAUACUAUUUGUCUUUGAUAUUGUGGAGGUAAGCGGGAUAUGUAAUGUAGCGGUGAAAUGCUUAGAUAUGACAUAGGACACCAAUUGCGAAGGCAGCUGACUAUAUAAUUAUUGACACUGAGG